rnacentral:rRNA from 1 species
UACGUAGGGUGCAAGCGUUAAUCGGAAUUACUGGGCGUAAAGCGUGCGCAGGCGGUUAUGCAAGACAGAUGUGAAAUCCCCGGGCUUAACCUGGGAACCGCAUUUGUGACUGCAUAGCUGGAGUACGGCAGAGGGGGAUGGAAUUCCCGGUGUAGCGGUGAAAUGCGCAGAUAUCGGGAGGAACACCGGUGGCGAAGGCGGUUCUCUGGGCCUGACCUGACGCUGAGGAGCGAAAGCGUGGGGAGCGAACAGG